UACGUAGGGUGCGAGCGUUACUCGGAAUUACUGGGCGUAAAGUGUGCGCAGGCGGCCGCGCAAGUCGAGUGUGAAAUCCCCGAGCUUAACUUGGGAAUUGCGCUCGAAACUACGUGGCUGGAGUGUGGCAGAGGAAUGUGGAAUUCCACGUGUAGCGGUGAAAUGCGUAGAGAUGUGGAGGAACACCGAUGGCGAAGGCAGCCUUCUGGGCCAACACUGACGCUCAUGCACGAAAGCGUGGGGAGCAAACAGG
rnacentral:rRNA from 1 species